UUUCUCUCAAGAACCUCUUUUUUCUACUGCUGUUUUGGGGCGAUUCAUUUGUUCAUCAUUUGUCUAAAUUGGGUUGCAUUUCCGGUCCUUCUGCCUCUUCUUUCAACUGGAGGCAAUGUCGCAAGGUUACGCAAUUGAGCUCUACUUUGAUCCUGCACUUGAAAACCAGGUCUUGAAAGCCUGGAAUGUAUUGGCUCGGCGCCAGAUUAGCACUCAGCUUAUUGAAAUUGAGUCUAGACCUCACAUUACCCUCUUCUCGAGUCCGUUUCUUGAUCCAUCGAAGAUUGAGAACAUUGUAAAGAAUUUUUCGUCCAAGCAAGAAUCAUUGCCUCUGUCCUUUGGUUCAAUUGGAAGCCUCCCAAGUGACGACAAUGUUCUAUUUCUUGCCCCAACUCCAACUUUGUCUCUCCUUCAGUUCCACUCACAACUGUAUGAUGCUAUGAAAAAGGAGGGCAUUGAGAUUGCGGAGGAGCAUCGUCCUGAUACAUGGAUUCCUUAUUGCCCAGUAGCUGACGAAGUGCCUAAAACUCGUAUGGGUGAGGCAUUCACUGUUUUGAGGGAUCUGAAAUUACCUGUUGCUGGAUAUGCUACGGAAAUUGCACUUGUUGAGUAUCCACCAGUUCGUGAAGCAUUUUCUUUUGUGCUUGGUAAUACAGUUGAACCAUGAGGCUUCAGGCAUGUAAUUGUGUUGAUUUUAGUUUAGGUUUUUACCUUCUGUUUCCUACAUAGUUGCUGUUUUAGAACCUGAUAUAGAUGGUUAAGAGUGCUAUUGUCGUUGCUAAAUCGUCAUCUGCUUUGAUGAAAUAUUGAGGUCAUUUCUG
rnacentral:misc_RNA from 1 species